rnacentral:rRNA from 1 species
UACGAAGGGUGCAAACGUUGCUCGGAAUUAUUGGGCGUAAAGCGCACGUAGGCGGCAUUGCAAGUCGGAUGUGAAAUCUUAUGGCUUAACCAUAAAAGUGCAUCCGAAACUGCAGUGCUUGAGUACUUAAGAGGAUCGCGGAAUUCCCGGUGUAGAGGUGAAAUGCGCAGAUAUCAGGAAGAACACCUAUGGCGAAGGCAGCUCUCUGGGACGGUACUGACGCUGAGACGCGAAAAGCGUGGGGGAGCGAAACAGGG